rnacentral:lncRNA from 1 species
UUUUAUCCAUAAUAUCAUUCCAAAAUCUUCAGAAGCUUUGGGUGGUUCCAUGUUUCAUGUGGUUGAAAUCGGUCAUAUUUUAAUGCCAUCAUUUAGGUGUACUUCAUUUCAAAGCAUUCUCGCUGUUCUCAAAUUCUGCAGGACUGUUCUCCUCGUGUCUGAACUUGAUGUUAAAUAUUCAGAUGAUUGGACAUCAGGUGUAAGAGGGUAGUGGCUUUCACAUUUGCAUAUUUGAGUCUUCAUUGAAUAAGGAGAGUAAACAAAUGCAGAGACGGCUACAGUAAAUUGCAAUACAAGCGUGUUGAACAUCAAAACUGCAAUACAGAUGUACGGUACUAGACCCUCUUUCAGAAAAGCAUUUAGUGACAGUUCUCAUAGGUAGUUGAAUCCAUGUGUUGUCUACAUGUGGGAAACCCUACUAAGCUACUAAACGGUGUAGGUGUUAAGAGUCUUCACCCGCUGCCCACCCGCCCACGGCAGCUCGACCAAUGAAAGACCUCUGUGAGGUCAAUCUAACGGACAGUGUCGAAAAACAAAGGCAAAAAAAAAAAAAAAAAAAAAAAAAAAACAUUUUUGUGUUUUUAUGGUGAAUUAUGUAUCGAUUAGAAUAAUUUAAUGUGACUCGAUGUUUCUUUGGUGAGAGCUCAUUGUAUAUGUUAUUCAAAUUCUGUGUAAUUUUAACACUCUCUUGCAAAGUAGGGUAUAUAUUAGAUGAACAGAAAAUUACUGUAUUUUGCUAAAUAUCGAUGAUUUUUACCUGUAUUUUUCCCCCCUCAGCAAUUCUCUUCUAAAUAAUUUGUGCAAUGCUGUAUCAAGUGUGGUACAUGCACAUUGUAAUAUAGGAUCUACUAUUGAGAAACUACUAAAAUGGAUUACAAUAACAAUAAUUUAAAGCCCAGGGCCCCAAUUCCAACACAUUCAGUUCCAUUCAUAGAAGGAGUUGAUAAGAAAUCUGAGUGAUGUACUAUGUGAGGCGUUCCAGAUAUUCUGCAACAUUAUGUAUUCAUAUCAGAUGUAUAUAAAUAAGACAUAUAACAGCAUAUUCAGAGAAGAAUAUGAUUACCAGUUCCAUGUCAUUUUUCACAUUUUCCAUGAACACUAAUCAUGGAUAUUUGGCUUAUUUAAUUAUUGUUUCCCUUAUUUCUCCCACAGUGUUCAAAUGGCUUAAUAGGUUCUGUAGAGAUGUCUACAUUGUCUAAUCUGUCUGAUCACUCAGUCUUUUCUCUAAAAGCUAUUCUUCCGUGAAUAUAUAUCAUAGUAUGAUUCUUGUUCACUAAAUUGUUUCUUUGACAGAUCACCUAAAUACAAUAUUACAAAAUAGACCCCUUAAAGGACAUAAAGGAAGUUAUAACAUAUAAUAACAGACAAAAAAGGAAUAGUUCACCAAAAAACUUGUCAUUAUUUACUUUUGUUUUAAGUGGAACACAAAUGGAGAAUGUUUACACAGAUUUUUCUAAAACACAACACAACACAACACAACAUAACAUAACAUAACAUGACAACAUAACAUAACAUAACAACAUAUACCAUAUAACAUAACAUAACAUAUACCACAUAACAUAACAUAACAUAACAUAACAUGACAACAUAACAUAACAUAACAACAUAUACCAUAUAACAUAACAUAACAUAUACCACAUAACAUAACAUAACAUAACGUUAACAUAACAUAACAUAAACAACAAUAACAUAACAACAUAUAACCAUAUAACAUAACGAUAACAUAACAGUAACAAUAACAUAACAUAACUAUUGACAUAACAUAACAU